AUUGAACGCUGGCGGCAGGCCUAACACAUGCAAGUCGGGCGGAUGAGGGGAGCUUGCUCCCUGAUUUAGCGGCGGACGGGUGCGUAAUGCCUAGGAAUCUGCCUGGGAGUGGGGGAUAACGUUCCGAAAGGAACGCUAAUACCGCAUACGUCCUACGGGAGAAAGCAGGGGACCUUCGGUCCUUGCGCUAUCAGAUGAGCCUAGGUCUGAUUAGCUAGUUGGUGAGGUAAUGGCUCACCAAGGCGACGAUCCGUAACUGGUCUGAGAGGAUGAUCAGUCACACUGGAAAUGAGACACGGUCCAGACUCCUACGGGAGGCAGCAGUGGGGAAUAUUGGACAAUGGGCGAAAGCCUGAUCCAGCCAUGCCGCGUGUGUGAAGAAGGUCUUCGGAUUGUAAAGCACUUUAAGUUGGGAGGAAGGGCUGCUGGUUAAUACCCUGCAGUUUUGACGUUACCAACAGAAUAAGCACCGGCUAACUUCGUG
rnacentral:rRNA from 1 species